CCUUCGGGAGCCUAUACAGGUGUUGCAUGGCUGUCGUCAGCUCGUGUCGUGAGAUGUUCGGUUAAGUCCGCUAACGAGCGCAACCCUCGUCGUAUGUUAUAUGUGUCAUACGAGACUGCCGGUAAAAAGCCGGAGGAAGGUGAGGAUGAUGUCAAGUCAGCAUGACCUUUAUAUCCAGGGCUACACACACGCUACAAUGGUCUGUACAAUGGGUAGCCAAGCCGCGAGGCGGAGCCAAUCCUGAAAGCAGGCCUCAGUUCAGAUUGCAGUCUGCAACUCGACUGCAUGAAGUCGGAAUCGCUAGUAAAGGCGUAUCAGCAACGACGCCUUGAAUACGUUCCCGGGCCUU
rnacentral:rRNA from 1 species